rnacentral:rRNA from 1 species
AUACGGAGGAUCCGAGCGUUAUCCGGAUUUAUUGGGUUUAAAGGGAGCGUAGGUGGAUUGUUAAGUCAGUUGUGAAAGUUUGCGGCUCAACCGUAAAAUUGCAGUUGAAACUGGCAGUCUUGAGUACAGUAGAGGUGGGCAGAAUUCGUGGUGUAGCGGUGAAAUGCUUAGAUAUCACGAAGAACUCCGAUUGCGAAGGCAGCUCACUAGACUGUUACUGACACUGAUGCUCGAAAGUGUGGGUAUCAAACAGGAUUAGAUACCCUGGUAGUCCGCACAGUAAACGAUGAAUACUCGCUGUUUGCGAUACACUGUAAGCGGCCAAGCGAAAGCGUUAAGUAUUCCACCUGGGGAGUACGCCGGCAACGGUGAAACUCAAAGGAAUUGACGGGG